UCACUUUCCCUUUUCCCUUCGGUCGUUCGAGCAAAUGGAGAAAGCUAUGGAAUGACGAGCUCGUUCGAUUUGGUUGUUAGACCUGGACGAGGAAUACGAGGAAGUCUGGGCGAAUCUGAAGUCGACGAGGACCUUGGCGAGACCUUCGAGGACGUGUGGACGUCGAGGACGGACCAAGGACCAAGAAGAGGCCUACAAGGACGAGCAACCACGUGGAUGGAUCGAGGCCAGCGCACGCAAGAACGAGUAGAUCAGCCCUCGGGUGCGUCUGGGAUUCGACAUCAGCGCUGCUAGCAGGACACCAAGAGAAAAAUUAAGGUUGAACUUAUCCAGCGCCGGACUCCUCGGGGUGGCCGGUCCGUUACCGCGCUCGCACCGUUCGCCAGGAGGUAUUUUUGAUCGAGCUGUCUGAGCGAAGGACUUCUUUUCGUGCGCUGAAGCCGAGUACAAAUCCCCGUCUGAUGUCCCGGCGUCCGAUGAGUUGCACGCGAACCCCGUGGAGGAAACUCACCGUCUGCGUGCGUAAGCUGGAGGGACGCAGGGACUACGGGAUCUGCCCCAGCGAGCCAGGAGAUCAUCGCUUUCAACACAUACAGUAGAGAACGCAUCUGGAAACACUAUAGAAAUCGGGAGGUAGUGA